UUGGCGGACGGGUGAGUAAUACAUCGGAACGUGCCCUGUUGUGGGGGAUAACUAGUCGAAAGAUUGGCUAAUACCGCAUACGACCUGAGGGUGAAAGCGGGGGACCGUAAGGCCUCGCGCAAUAGGAGCGGCCGAUGUCUGAUUAGCUAGUUGGUGAGGUAAAGGCUCACCAAGGCGACGAUCAGUAGCUGGUCUGAGAGGACGAUCAGCCACACUGGGACUGAGACACGGCCCAGACUCCUACGGGAGGCAGCAGUGGGGAAUUUUGAACAAUGGGGGCAACCCUGAUCCAGCAAUGCCGCGUGUGUGAAGAAGGCCUUCGGGUUGUAAAGCACUUUUGUCCGGAAAGAAAUCCUUUGGGCUAAUACCCCGGAGGGAUGACGGUACCGGAAGAAUAAGCACCGGCUAACUACGUGCCAGCAGCCGCGGUAAUACGA
rnacentral:rRNA from 1 species